rnacentral:rRNA from 1 species
CUUUUACAGAGGAAUAGCCUUUAGAAAUGAAGAUUAAUGCCUCAUAGUAUUGUAGACUGGCAUCAGUUUAUAAUUAAAGAUUUAUCGGUAAAAGAUGGCUAUGCGUCCUAUUAGUUAGUUGGUAAGGUAACGGCUUACCAAGACAGCGAUAGGUAGGGGUCCUGAGAGGGAGAUCCCCCACACUGGUACUGAGACACGGACCAGACUCCUACGGGAGGCAGCAGUGAGGAAUAUUGGACAAUGGAGGAGACUCUGAUCCAGCCAUGCCGCGUGUAGGAAGAAUGCCCUAUGGGUUGUAAACUACUUUUAUACAGGAAUAAACACUGGUAUGUAUACCAG